GUUCUCUCCUCCAUCACAGUGAUCACGAAGGAGCAGUCCUGACUGUCGGUCUCAGUGUGACUCUGUGUGUGUGUGUCUGUCUGGUUUCUUGUGUCUCGGGGUUUGUCAGUGUGUGUUUGGCUCUCCCGGGGUACAUCUGUCCUUGUACUGCUGUGUGUCUAAGCCUGUUAUCCAGGUGACUCUGCCCAUGUGGACUGACCCUCCAGUGUCUGUCCUGGUUUCUUUGUGGGGUGGGCAGUCUUGGCACAAAUCUUGUGUGGUCUGCGUCGGCCUGUCCUUGACCUCUGUGUUUUGCUCUGUCAGUCUGUAAAUCUACCAAUGUACUUGAAUCUCUAUGUUGUUCCUCAUUUCUUUAUGCGUCUAUCAGUUGUGUCAUUCUGUGUGUGUGAGUGUACGUGUAUGAUGUGUUUCAACUCAGGGGACCAGCCUGCUGCAAAAUCCUCUCAUGGGGAGUGCCCCUAAAGAAGCUACUUAGGAGAAUGUGGAGGUUGAUGGCUUCGCUAGAGCACAGCCCAGCUUACUACCAGCUAGGCUGGGACUGCCAGUCCAACCCUGCGGCUUACAGCUUGGGAGUCCGGCAAGGAGCCCAUACAGAGUAGCGGACGCGCACGGAGACAACUACAAAGGGACUCACACAGGCACAAACGCAGCUGCGCCCUUCUCGGCGUGGGUAUUCGCAGACCCGCCACGAAGCUGCCGAGAGGUGUCCUCCUUCCAGACCCCCCAAACGAAAAGAAAGCGAAAAGCCAACCUUUCGCCUCCAUUCUGCACACAUUUGGAGAGUCCUUGGUGGCGAGCGACCUGCAGAAUCGCUUUCAUCGCGGCGUCCCUGGACGGGCGGAGACAGCCCCGGUGACCGAGCCCCUCAGCCCGGGACUGAGCCUCCUUGAGAGAGAUCCAUGCCAGCCACUGCUGCCUUCGGGGAGGACUUGCAGCCAGGUUUAAGGACGAGCGAUGGGUGCCAGGGAGACAGACUGACGCCCAGACGACCCGAUCCAUCAGAGACAGGUAACUCUGUCCUGCCGGCUUUCUGGGCGCCCAGACCAGUCCUUAGCCAGAGGAUCUGGGGCCGCACAGCUCCCGGACUGGAAGGGGUGAUCCGGGGGCGAGGGACUGUGAGAGUCAGCCCACCCGGCCUCCUCCCUCCCUGCGGCGGCGAGGUGGGAAGGGCCAGGAUCGGAGCUUAGCACCUCCCCCAGAAAUGCAGCACUUGGCCCCCCUCAUCCCCGCCCUCAGCGCUCCCUCUUUCCCUUGCUCCCCCCGCCCGGCCUCCUUCCCAAGGGCGCCCUUCUCCUGCCCCCCUCACGUCUGAAUCCCUCCGUGUCCCCUUUCUCUUCUGCUUGCCCCCUCCUCACGCCCCCUGCCUCCCGGUGUUUCCCCUCUCCACCCGCCGCCCCCGCACCGCCUGAUUCCGAGGGGCGGGAGCG